UUUGCCCUUUUUUGGGCAAAAAAUAUUAAAAAAGGUCCGAGUUUGAAGAUAUUUAAACUUUUGCAAUUAUUGAUACAAAGGAUACAUGGGUGGGACAAAAUGAUUAUAUAUAGAAUCAAUGGACUAAAGGAUCGAAGUUAUAAAAUUUUAUCGUUUGAAAUGGCAGCAAUAGUAAACAGUUGGCCAUUAUCACAUAUUCAAGACACGAAAUAGUCAAGGUUUUAUUCAGCUUUGUGCUGUGUCUCUUAAUGCUAAAUAGAGUGCAUGGAAUCAAACGGAGUGUAUAUUUCUUUGAUAUUAAUGUAGAAAAGGGAGAAACAUUUUAUAUAUCUAACGAUAAGUAUUCGAAUUUUUCUGGAAUUGAAUACGGCACUUGGAAAUUGCACAGCCUCUUUAUUAUCGAAGCGACGUGUUCCAUUGAGCUAAAUGAUAAUUGUAUUGCAAAUAAAUUUCUUGUUAUUAAUCAUCUGGAAAUUAAUCAUCUAUCUAUUGUGGUAAUGAUAAAAUAGCCUUCGAAGGAUGCAAUCUAAUUAUAAAAUUUGUUUCGACAUUUCAAAGUCGAUUUUUAUGUGAAAUUAAAACUAAUGAUAAUACUCAGUGUGGUAAGUCGGAAAAAAAUGCGAACGUAACGUACUAACCUUUAACAACUGGCAUCAGGAAGUAUUGAGGUUUAGUCAUGGAGAAUUACACGAUUGAGCAACGCAUAAAAAUUGUGAAAAUCCACUACGACGAAGUUUCAUGGUCGUGUUAUUUCGCGCCGCGGCGAUGUGAAUUGGCCAUCAAGAUCGUGCGAUUUGACGCCAUUGGACUUCUUUCUUUGGGGUUUUCUGAAAGGAAAAGUGUAUGCCAAUGAUCCACAGACCAUUCCGGAGUUGAAGGAAGAAAUUAGACGUAAUUAAUGAAAUUAGUCCGCAAUUAUGCCAAAAUGUCAUUGAAAAUUUUGUCAAAAGAAUGAACGUUUGCAAACAGAGUCGAGGCGGCCAUUUAUCGGAUAUUGUGUUCCACAUAUAACCUCCAUGUACUUUAUAUUAAACUAAAAACAUGUGUACUUUUCAAAUAAAUAAUAUGAU
rnacentral:lncRNA from 1 species